UAGGGAAUCUUCGGCAAUGGACGAAAGUCUGACCGAGCAACGCCGCGUGAGUGAAGAAGGGUUUCGGCUCGUAAAGCUCUGUUGUUAAAGAAGAACACGUAUGAGAGUAACUGUUCAUACGUUGACGGUAUUUAACCAGAAAGUCACGGCUAACUACGUGCCAG
rnacentral:rRNA from 1 species